GGCUGCCUAUACAUGCAAGUCGAACGAGCUUCCGUUGAUUGACGUGCUUGCACUGAUUUCAACAUUGAAGCGAGUGGCGAACUGGUGAGUAACACGUGGGAAAUCUGCCCAGAAGCAGGGGAUAACACUUGGAAACAGGUGCUAAUACCGUAUAACAACAAAAACCGCAUGGUUUUUGUUUGAAAGGUGGCUUCGGCUAUCACUUCUGGAUGAUCCCGCGGCGUAUUAGUUAGUUGGUGAGGUAAAGGCCCACCAAGACAAUGAUACGUAGCCGACCUGAGAGGGUAAUCGGCCACAUUGGGACUGAGACACGGCCCAAACUCCUACGGGAGGCAGCAGUAGGGAAUCUUCCACAAUGGACGAAAGUCUGAUGGAGCAAUGCCGCGUGAGUGAAGAAGGGUUUCGGCACGUAAAACUCUGUUGUUAAAGAAGAACACUUCUGAGAGUAACUGUUCAGAAGUUGACGGUAUUUAACCAGAAAGCCACGGCUAACUACGUGCCAGCAGCCGCGGUAAUACGUAGGUGGCAAGCGUUGUCCGGAUUUAUUGGGCGUAAAGCGAGCGCAGGCGGUUUUUUAAGUCUGAUGUGAAAGCCUUCGGCUUAACCGGAGAAGUGCAUCGGAAACUGGGAAACUUGAGUGCAGAAGAGGACAGUGGAACUCCAUGUGUAGCGGUGGAAUGCGUAGAUAUAUGGAAGAACACCAGUGGCGAAAGCGGCUGUCUAGUCUGUAACUGACGCUGAGCUCGAAAGCAUGGGUAGCGAACAGGAUUAGAUACCCUGGUAGUCCAUGCCGUAACGAUGAGUGCUAGUGUUGGAGGGUUUCCGCCCUUCAGUGCCGCA
rnacentral:rRNA from 1 species